UUAUCGUGACCUUUCAACUGCUUAUUUCAUUUCAUAUACAUCAUCUCUCUCACUUGUUUCCUCUCUUUCUCACCAUUUCAUACAUUAUAUUAUCAACUACUUGCUUGUAUAUAGCAAUUAAAGGUUUAUAUACAAAUAUAGUCAUUAUUCUCUCAGGGUCGUCCAAAAGAUUACAAUGGUGACAAUUGGGUUGGAGAGAUUGAUGGAGACAUUGAAGACAAAGUUGGCUAGGUCUUUCAAGGGGAAAAAGUUUUAUGAAUAUAAUGAGAUUGAGAAGAGUGAAAGUAUGAGAAUAGAGAUAAGAAGUAAAAAAGCACGAAAGUUGAUUGAAGAGACUCUCAAAGUUGCCGAUUCUCCAACUAAGAGAAGUGUUUCCAUUUGACAUAAAAUCAAGAAGCUAAGGUCGUGUAUUAUUUUAAAUUCAGGAUAGUCAUGCAAAGCAUCUACAUGGAAGCAAAUUGUGUAGCCGAUUAUUUGACCUCAUUCAAGAUUAAGACUAGAGUACACCGGCUUUUCUACUAAGAGAGGCAAUUUAAUUUUUAAGGAGUACGUACUAAUAAUUUAAUAUGUAUGGUUUUAAUAAACCUUCAUCAUCUUUGUAUUUUUCCAAAAAAAAAAAAUUAAAAAAAAAAAAGCUACACUUUGUAUGAAUUUUUAUGGUAACGUUUAAGUUGUGUAUUAUGAUCA